rnacentral:rRNA from 1 species
UACGUAGGGUGCAAGCGUUGUCCGGAAUUAUUUGGGCGUAAAGAGCUCGUAGGCGGUCUGUUGCGUCUGCUGUGAAAACCCGGGGCUUAACCCCUGGCUUGCAGUGGAUACGGACAGACUAGAGGUAGGUAGGGGAGAAUGGAAUUCCCGGUGUAGCGGUGAAAUGCGCAGAUAUCGGGAGGAACACCGGUGGCGAAGGCGGCAUCCUGGACCAACACUGACGCUGAGUGAGCGAAAGCCAGGGGAGCAAACGGG